GAGCGGUAGAGAGAAGCUUGCUUCUCUUGAGAGCGGCGGACGGGUGAGUAAUGCCUAGGAAUCUGCCUGGUAGUGGGGGAUAACGUUCGGAAACGGACGCUAAUACCGCAUACGUCCUACGGGAGAAAGCAGGGGACCUUCGGGCCUUGCGCUAUCAGAUGAGCCUAGGUCGGAUUAGCUAGUUGGUGAGGUAAUGGCUCACCAAGGCGACGAUCCGUAACUGGUCUGAGAGGAUGAUCAGUCACACUGGGACUGUGACACGGUCCAGACUCCUACGGGAGGCAGCAGUGGGGAAUAUUGGACAAUGGGCGAAAGCCUGAUCCAGCCAUGCCGCGUGUGUGAAGAAGGUCUUCGGAUUGUAAAGCACUUUAAGUUGGGAGGAAGGGCAGUUGCCUAAUACGUAACUGUUUUGACGUUACCGACAGAAUAAGCACCGGCUGACUCUGUG
rnacentral:rRNA from 1 species